GCCACUCCAGUUUUGUGACCCACUUGGACUGGUCUGCUGACAGCCAGUACAUCGUCACCAACUCAGGAGACUACGAGAUCUUAUUCUGGGAAGCCGCGAGUGGCAAACACCUGACCACUGCAGACACUGUGCGGAACCUGGAGUGGGCCACCUCCACCUGCGUGCUGAGCUUUGUGUGUUCGGUGAGUGGCUGCUCACCCCUGGGGCUGCUUUAGUGUGUUCGGUAUCUGGCCAGAUGGUGCUGAUGGUACAGAUAUCAACGCCGUGUGCAGGUCACAUGACGCCAAGCUCCUGGCCUCUGCCGACGACUUUGGCAAAGUGCGCUUGUUCCCCAACCCCUGCUCACAGCCAAGGG